AAUAACCUUUAGGCAGACCUCAAAUUAAGGCAGACAAAAACGGGUCUGCCUGAUUUCAAAAGCAAUAAUUAACGUUGCUUUUAUUAUUAAUUAACUUUGUUUACCAUUUUUAUGCAAAAACUAUACACAAUUAAUUCAUGGAAAUACUUUUUGUGUAAAUUGUUUAUUAUUGGUCAGAAUGAAACAUCAUUUAAAAUGUUGAAUGUAUGUUAUUACAAAUACGCAGCAUACCCUUUUGGUGGACAAUGUUUAACUGGAUAAAAAACAUACUUUUUAAGAGUAUGUUUCAUGUUUUUAAACCUUUUUUGUCAAUUAAGAUCAUGUUUUAUCGAAUCCCAUGGUUUUUUCCGAAAAAAAAGUUAUGAUAAAAAAGUCGAUAUAUUUGCCACCGUGCCAAGUCUUCAUUUGAGAUAUAUUUUUUGUCCGAAAAUGCACUUCGGUUUUUUACGAUGGGUUGCGAGGGCUUCCGAACAAACAUGGCUGUUUUGAGUUACGAGAGAUGCGUAAGUAGGAUCAAGCUUAUUUAGACUAGCUUACUAAGUUUUUAUCUUGUUUUCUUGAUAUUUAUACUUUUAAACAGUAAAUUUUAUUUGUUGUCACACUCUAUUCAUGAAAUAUGACGACAAAAAACAUGUUCAAUUGAGGAAAACAUUUCAAGGACUUAACAAAGUUAAACAAUAAUACAUCAAAACUGAUUAAUAAAUAAUUAAAUUAAAACAAAAUAUUUGCAGUUUUAAGUCAAGAGAAAACUCAUUCUAUGAGAUGCAUGCAUUUCAAAACAGUAGGUUUUACAUGUUAGAUAAUAUGACGUCAUGGUUGAUUUUGGCGUCACCACAAAAAGAUGUAGGGCCUAUUGUAAAUAUUAGCUAAUCUAGUGUAACGUUAAAGAGUUAAAUAACCUCGUGUUCGUAAUAAUUUUAUGCAUAAUAUGUAUACGUUUUCAGCUGAAAGCAGUCUUAGAAAACGAUAAAGAAAAAGGUAGGUACAUUUAUGAAAUGUAAACAAGCAUGCCCCGGCCCUGAUGUGUACAUGUACCUAACGUUAUAGCGAUGUUGAGUUGUCUCACUACUGUUAUGCCGCAAGAGGCUGCUUGUUAAAUUAUAGAAUAUUACCUAAAUCAUAUUAAAAAUAAUCUAUUGAUAAUUUGGAUAAUUAUCAAGUUUGUGUUCAAAAAGGAGGGGUUGGUGGUUAUUUAGGAACUCUUCUGUUUCUUGAGGUAAUAAUUUUCGGUUCACUGAAUGGAUGUUGAACCUCGUCUGGCAUUGAUGCAGAGGGUGUUACUAACAGCAUUAGUCAUUUCACCAAUGAUACAGACAAAGAUGCUAAUUUGGUCAUGAAGCUGAAUGUCUUUAAUGACAAAGAGGACCUCUGUCUGUAUGCUGUGAAGAAUAUACAGCCAAGGGAAUAGAUUCAAUACAAUUAUGGAGAUAAAGAGAACCUUUGGUGGAGGAGCAAGUAAUUUCUAAGAUGGCACAACGAGAAGAGAAUGCUGCAGAGGUGUUAGAUUGAGAUGUUGAGCAAAUGGAUUUAGAGCAAUGUUAAGAGAAUGCUGGAGAGGAGUUAGAUGGAGAUGUUGAGCAAGUGGAUCUGGAGCAAGAAGCACAGAAAGCUGGAGAGUAUGUUUUAGAUGGAGACGUUAAUCAAGUGGAUUUGAAGCAACGUUAAGAGAAUGCUGGAGAGGUGUUAGAUGGAGAUGUUGAGGUAAAACAUGUCUGGAGGGUUACUUGAGCAGAUCUACAUCCUUUUCUUGCACAGUUCUUCAGUUCAGAACAAAGAUCAUGAAUGAAAAGAACAAAAGAAAAAAGAAGCAUUCCAAUCGAUUAAAAAACUUUUUUUUUAGAUUUUUUAAACCAAAACUUUAAAUCAAAUGCCUUCGUUUACUCCCUUUUAGCUAAACGGAGAUGAAAGCUCAUGUGAGCUUUUCAGAUCACUCUUUUGUAUGGCAUCUGUCUGUCAACUUUCAUAUUUUCAACUUAUUCCCUAGAACCACUUGGCUAAUUUCAACCAAACUUGGCAUGAAGAAACCUUGUGUAAAUGGCAUUCAAAUAUGUUCGAAUGAAGGGCUAAGUCAUAUCUAAAAGGGGAAUGAUUUUUAAAUCAUAUUUUUAACAAAUCUUCUCAAAAAACAUUUGGUUGGAAAAGCUGAAACUUGUGUCGAAGCAUCCUCAGGUCAUGUAGAUUCAAGUUUGUUCAAAUCAUGUUCCCAGGGGGCAAGGUUGAGCCACAAUUGUAUAAUAUAAAUGAUAUAUAAAGACAAAUCUUCCAAAAACUUUUUUUUCAAAAACCAAUAGGCCAGACAAGCUGUAAAUUGUGUUGAAGUUUGAUUAAAUCAGUAUGCCGAAGGUUAGGGAGAGGCACCAUUGGGAGGGGGGCAAUUUUUACAUAAGAAUAUAUUGAGAAAAAAUCUUUAAAAAUCUUUUUCUUUAUAAUUUUUUUUUCUCAAAAGCCAUGCUGUGACUUGUGUGGAAGAAUUAUCAGAUAGUGCAAAUGUCAUCAUGUUCAAAUCAUGUUCUUGAAGGUAUAAUUAGGUCACAAUUGGUGGGGGUGGUAUAUUAAUCUAAGAAAUAAUUUUAAUUAUUCUCCAUAACUCAAAUUUUAAAAUAUAUGGUAUUGCUUAUAACCAAUCAUCUUGACUUUUUGAUUCUCAAUUGUUGGACUGUGACCGUGGGCUACAAAAUUAGUUCAAAGUUUGAUGUUCUUGAUCUUCAUGAGAAAUGAAAUGCUCAAGAUGUAGACAAUUGAUAAUGAAAUUAUCCAGUUUUUAAAAAAGCACAAUGUAUAGCAUUAGAAAAUGUGUUAAAGAAAAUUGAAAAUCUUUUUAUACAGAAUCUUUUCUCAUACAUUGUUUUGAUAUUUUGUAAAUGACCCCUUAAAGCUGAUUUCAUCAUGGAUGUUGUUGCUCAUGUGAGCGAUCUGGCCCAUGGACCUCUUGUUUGGAAAGUAUCUUAGUCACUUUUUAAACCAAAUUUAAAUUCUGACAAACAGGAAGAUGGCUACAUGUUUGAUGUUCAAAUGCUUCUUCACAGAGAUUUUACAAGCAAAUUCUUCCCCUUCAAAUCCCAAUUCUAUUUUUUGCACAACUGGUAGCAAUUGAUUAAGUUUACUUGAUUAUCAUGUACAAUGUAGAGAUCUAGAUGAUGCAUUAUGAUUUUUUACACUCACUGAUUGUCUUUGUAUUACAUAUUGAUUUUUGAAUUAAUUUAACUAUAGGAAACAAAAAUUAGACACACUUCCUUGAUUGUGUUUCUGAAAUAUUACAUAGUUGUUCCAAGGCAAAGAAGUCAAAAUCCAGGCCCGUGGAGUGCAUUGAUUCAACUGGUUUUUUUUUUUAUUGAAAUAGAAAAUAACCGAUUAAGGAAAAACUAAUGUGGUGUUAAGCAUUUAUAAAUUAUGAGAAUGUUGUGCAUGUACCUGGGUUCAAUUUGUUCAUGUACCAAAGAUUAGAAUUAGUGUUAAUGCAGUGGCGUUGAAAGCAAAUUGAAAGUAAGG